CCUACGGGGGACAGCAGUGAGGAAUAUUGGUCAAUGGACGCAAGUCUGAACCAGCCCAGUAGCGUGCAGGAUGACGGCCCUCCGGGUUGUAAACUGCUUUUAGUUGGGAAUAAAAGGGGGCUCGUGAGCCCCGUAUUGUAUGUACCAUCAGAAAAAGGACCGGCUAAUUCCGUGCCAGCAGCCGCGGUAAUACAGAAGGUCUGGGCGUACUCCGGAUGUAGUGGGGUUAAAGGGAGCGUAGGCCGGCGUUUAAGUCAGCUUGGACAGUCCGGGGCGCAACAGUGGAAUUGAAGUUGAAACGUGAGGCCUUGAGUGCACACAGGGAUGCCGGAAUUGAUGGGGGAGCGGUGAAAGGCUUAGAGUGCAUGAAGAACUCCGAUCGCGAAGGCAAGUGUCCGGGGUGCAACUGACGCUGAGGCUCGAAAGUGCGGGUAUCAAACAGGAUUAGAUACCCGAGUAGUC
rnacentral:rRNA from 1 species